AUAUGUUUAUGUUAGGUUUUGGGGUAUGGAAUGUAUCUCUUAGCUUAGAUGGUUCUGACGAGGUGUGUCCUGUUGUAUUUUGAAUAUGAAGAUUUUGUACAUGUUACGUUGGUUAUC
rnacentral:sRNA from 1 species